GGGCCCGCACAAGCGGUGGAACAUGUGGUUUAAUUCGACGCAACGCGCAAAACCUUACCUGGAUUUGACAUCCCGGGCUCACCUCAGAGAUGAGGUUUUCUCUUCGGAGACCCGGUGACAGGUGCUGCAUGGCUGUCGUCAGCUCGUGUCGUGAGAUGUUGGGUUAAGUCCCGCAACGAGCGCAACCCUUGUCCCUAGUUGCCAGCAUUAAGUUGGGCACUCUAGGGAGACUGCCGGUGAUAAGCCGGAGGAAGGUGGGGAUGACGUCAAGUCCUCAUGGCCUUUAUGUCCAGGGCUACACACGUGUUACAAUGGGGGUGACAAAGAGUGGCAAGCUGCGAAGCUGCGCA
rnacentral:rRNA from 1 species